rnacentral:rRNA from 1 species
UACAGAGGUCUCAAGCGUUGUUCGGAUUCAUUGGGCGUAAAGGGUGCGUAGGCGGUAGUGUAAGUCAGGUGUGAAAUCCCGGGGCUCAACCCCGGAACUGCACUUGAUACUGCAUUGCUAGAGUACUGGAGAGGAGACUGGAAUUUACGGUGUAGCAGUGAAAUGCGUAGAUAUCGUAAGGAAGACCAGUGGCGAAGGCGAGUCUCUGGACAGUUACUGACGCUGAGGCACGAAGGCCAGGGGAGCAAACAGG